rnacentral:rRNA from 1 species
AAUGAACGUUGGCGGCGUGGAUUAGGCAUGCAAGUCGAGCGAGAAACCCUCUUCAAAGGGUGGACAGCGGCAAACGGGGUAGUAAGGCAUCGGUUACGCACCCCCAGGCCUGGGAUAGCCGAGGGAAACUUCGGGUAAUACCGGAUAAUAUCUGAGGAUCAAAGGUGUGAUUCCGCCUGGGGACCGGCUGAUGUGAUACCAGCUAGUUGGUAAGGUAACGGCUUACCAAGGCUUAGACGUCUAGGGGGUGUGAGAGCAUGGCCCCCACCACUGGGACUGAGACACUGCCCAGACACCUACGGGUGGCUGCAGUCGAGAAUCUUCGGCAAUGGGCGAAAGCCUGACCGAGCGACGCCGCGUGCGGGAUGACGGCCCUUGGGUUGUAAACCGCUGUCAGAGGGGAUGAAAUUCCAGAGGGCUAUCCCUCCGGAUUGACAAAGCCUCAGAGGAAGCCCGGGCUAAGUACGUGCCAGCCGCCGCGGUAACAC